GCAAAUUCAUAGAUUUAAAAGAUAUGUUUGAAUUGCGACAGUUUUAGCGGUGAUAAGAUAUGAAAAUUAAUUAAGUCGGUUAUAAUUUGAAUGGGCGGGCAAAUAUUUCCGCUCUCCACAUUUUGGGGUUUUGAAUAGAGUCUCAAAAUUACUCGCUGAUUCAUAUUCCACCUUCCUUCAUUCACUUCCUAAACCCUAAUUUCAUUUCCCUCCCUCUAAUUUCAUUAGUCGUGUGGUUAUGGUUUUGUGUUUGCUUGUGACGGGGAAGGAGCGAGCAAUAUAGAGAAACGGCACUCAUGGCGGAAGCAUAGGAUGGAGAAACAUUCCUUGAGGUUAAUUUCUGACGAAAUCAACGCCAUCAAAGACAGGGAAGAUGCUUGGGCAGACUCUUGUCACCAAAUAAACAGCCCCCCAAGGCAAAGUUUCUCAGGAAGGUUGGGCCCCUUGCUGCAUAUUAUCAAGUACCACUGCGUCAUAUCCUACUGGUAUAUGACGAGAUGAGCUUGCCGAAUCAUGUUUUGAGGCUUCAGCCCAGGGGAGGACAUGGGUAUCAUAAUGGAUUAGUUUAUUAGAAAUGCUGAGCAUAAAAAGAAGAAGAUGAUGAAUAUGACAUUAAAUGUGAUGACAGAUGAAAAUGAUAAGAUUGAAAAGUCGAACUUGGUUAUCAACGAGCUCGUUAAGGAAAAGAAUGAAGAAAAAGAAAGGUUAAAUGGAGUUAUUGCGGGCUUGUUGGCUGAAAAAGAAAAAGAUAAGGUGGACAAAGAUGUCAUGCUCAAUAGGAUGUCACAAAUUGAAGCUACGUUAACCGCUAUGGUUCGAAGAUAGGCUAUAAACACUUGAUUUUGAAUGUUUUGAUGUUUAUCAUAUUAGAAUAAUUUCGGUAAUUUGAUGUUUUAGUUGGCAUUUAUAUUAGAAUGUUUUAUAAUUUUAUAUAUUUUUGGGAUUUUGUAAUUU